GUUACUACUGCGAUUUGAGACGGUCCAAUGUUUCUAUUCUGAGGCCUUGCCCUGAAGGACACUACUGCCCUGCAGGUACAGCCCUGCCCAACCCCUGCCCCAUAGGCUCCUUCAACCCCAGAGAGCGCACGCACAGUGUUGCAGGCUGCACGCCAUGUGCUGCUGGACAGUACUGUCCUUUUGUAGGACUUUCAGAGCCGGCAGGAUCUUGUAAUGCUGGUCAUUGGUGCAGAGGGGGGGCAUCCUCUCCCAGUCCUCUGGAUGGAGUCUCAGGUUCCUUGUGUCCACCUGGUCAAUACUGCCCCACAGGUUACUGGCUUGCCGUCCUUUAUCAACCAAUCAGCCAGCCGCUCUGUCAGUACUGUGUACUGUUGAUGCCUGAAAUGUGACACGGUACAGGCGGUCCCCAAUUUCAAAACAAUAGUUUUAGAAAUCCAGCGCUGAUGCAGCUUUUUUUGCAGGCUAAUGCAACCAAAUUUAUACCGUGUGAAGCUAUUAACAUUCUACCCCAUUUUAUCCAAGGGCUACAAUGUGUUAUUCAUGCAAAUCACCAUUUGGUAGCCCAGGGGAUGUGCUGACAACAUUAGUCUUGUUAUUUUGUAAGUUUUCUUAAAAUGAAUUUGUGCACUUGCUCGUUCUGACUUGGGGGCACUGACCUCUGCUUUAAAGACAUUGCUGAAACGUGAACUCUGCUUUUUUUUCUGCAUGCAGCAAUCGGAUGCCUGAGUACCUCACUUAUCUAGUUACACUUGAAUUCUUCAAGUGUGUAAACCUUAUUAUAUUACCCAAUAACUGCAUUGCUGUUGGCAUCUUUUAAUAGUCUCUUUUUCUGCAUAGUCAUCUGUUCAACGGAAUUGAAAAUGAGAGUUGAACUUCACGUCAUCUUCACAGGCACCACAGCACCAAUGGCCUGCCCUCAAGGAAGCUGGUCCAACGCCUCAGGUCUGCGUAAGCAGGAGGACUGCGCACCCUGUUUAGGGGGAUUUUACUGCAACUCUGUCGGCCUCACCAAACCUAGUGGACCCUGCAUCGGGGGGUAUUACUGCGUAGAGCGAGCCGUUACAUCCGCCCCUACUGAUGGAGUUACGGGCGGACCGUGUCCUGAGGGAUACUACUGCCCAGAGGGCACUGUUCUACCUGUGCCCUGUGAUCCAGGGACAUAUGCUGCUGUCACACAUGCUACGCAGUGUGAGCCCUGUGUGCCAGGCUGGUACUGUGUGUCCGGCUCGCUUUCUUUGUGUCCUACAGGCUUUUAUUGUCCCGAAAGGACUGGAUUUGACUUGAGAGGCUGUCCAGAGGGAACUUACGGCCCUGAUCCUGGCUACUGGUCUGUUUCUCAGUGCAGGCAGUGUGACGGCGGCCAUUACUGCUCUUCCAGAAAUGGCACCGCUGUCACUGGACCAUGUCAUGAAGGAUAUUACUGCUCACAUGGAAACACUUCUCCCCAACCUCAGUCCCAGGCUGCAGAAAAGGGAGGAACAUGUCCUGCCGGUCAUUACUGCCCCCAGGCCACCGUCCAUCCUCUGCCCUGUCCACGGGGAACUUUCACUAACCUCACCAAGUUGGCCUUCCAGGAGGAUUGCCAGCCAUGUCUUCCCGGUUACUAUUGCGAUGCUGUGGGGCUCUCGGGGCUUACAGGAAAAUGCUGGGAAGGUUUCUACUGUGUGGGAGGUGCAGAUCGCCCUGACCCUCCUUUGGGUCAUAAGCACGGAGGGCCAUGCCCAAAAGGUUAUUUCUGUCCUGAGGGCUCUGCGGCUCCUCGCCACUGUCCCUUGGGAACCAUCGGUACGGAAGAUGGUGGAGCCAGCUGCAGUGCCUGUCCUCAGGGUUUUUAUUGUCCUGGCAGACUUAACGGCUCCCUGUCGAGGACUUAUGAGUGUCCAGUAGGUCAUUACUGCCCGUCCGGGACCUGGUCCAAACACCAGUACCCAUGUCCACCAGGAUCCAUCAACCCCCACGCUGGGAUGGCCGAGCCCCAGGACUGCCUGCCCUGCCCUGCAGGCUACUUCUGCUUUACCCCUGGGAUGAGUGUUGCAUCAGGCCAGUGUGACGCAGGGUACUACUGCUUCUCUGGGGCCCGGUCACCCACACCAGAUGACGGAGGGACGACAGGUGAUAGAUGUCCCGAAGGCCAUUACUGUCCCCGGGGUUCCUCAGCACCACUGCCCUGUCCCAUCGGGCAUUACAGCAACAGCACCAGAAACCGUUAUCCCUCCAACUGUCUGCAUUGCCCUCCAGGUUUCAUCUGUGACACUAGAGGGCUCUCUCUCCCUUCUAAUAUCUGCCCAGCUGGCUCCUACUGUCCAGGCAGAGAAAACAGCGGGCAGCAGGCCUCUUCACCUUGCCCACCUGGAAACAUGUGUCCACCUGGAUCCGAUAGACCUGUACCCUGCUUGCCAGGGACCUUCCAGGAUUUAAACGGACAGGCAGAAUGUGUCAAAUGUCCAGCCGGAUUUUACUGUGCUGGUUUGGUGGAUGCGGACACUGGCCAUGUGUCUGGUCCUGCCACUCCGACUCUGUGUCCUAUCGGACACUAUUGCCCACAAGGAACGCAGUCUGGUGUAGCAUUCCCAUGCCCAGCUGGCACUUUCAGCGGGCAGAUGGGGUUGUCCAAUCAGUCGGGCUGUGAGCUUUGCCCUCCAGGGAGAUAUUGCGGUUCCUCUGGACUUGCUGCACCCACUGGGGUCUGCUCUCCAGGUUACCUCUGUAGCCAUGGUUCGGUUUCUUUCAAGCCGGAGGAGGGCCCAACAGGAGGCCGUUGCUCUGCAGGGUCCUAUUGCCCCCAGGGUACCCACUACAUGGUUCCUUGCCCUACAGGCACCUUCAGUUCCAAAGACGGGGCCGUUUCUGUAGAGGUUUGUCGGUCCUGUUUGCCUGGCCAUUAUUGCUCUGCGCCUGGCCUGUCCUCCCCAUCUGGGCCCUGCAACCCAGGUUUCUACUGCAUCCAGGGAUCCAGAACGGCCACACCUAUGGGUGACACCUCAGGAGAUUCCACGUCGCCAUCUCCACUACCUGGUGAUUCAACCCUGGAACAGUUCACUGGCAGUGUGUGUCCUGCAGGCCAUUACUGUCCUAAAGGGAGUGCAAAGCCAAGCCCUUGUCCUCCAGGAACCUUCUUGGGAAGGUCUGCGGCUGAGUCUCAGACUGAUUGUGAGGCUUGUUACUCGGGCUCUUACUGCCCCUCCUGGGCUCAGAGCUUUGUCGACCUCCUCUGUCCCCCGGGGUGGUUCUGUCCACCCGGAUCAGUGUCCGGACAUCAGCCAGGAUGUCAGUGCCCGCCCGGCCAUGCGUGCCCACCUGGCAGUGCCGAGCCGGCCCUCUGUAGCCAUGGCAGUUUUCAAUCUUCCUCUGGACAGUCCACUUGCAACACCUGCCCACCAGGUUUCUUCUGUACUCGGGGUUCAUCCGUGCCAUCGGCGUGUCCGAUGGGCAGCGUCAGUCCCUCGGCUGGCAUUACGUCCCCGACGGACUGCCCCGCCUGCCCCGCUGGCUACUUCUGUAACAGCAGUGCUCUGACAGAGCCGUCCGGAGCCUGCAGCCCAGGACAUUUUUGUUCCCUGGGAUCCACGGAGCCUUCCCCUGUCUCGCAGCCUUAUGGAGAUGUCUGCCCCGUAGGACACUUUUGUCCUGGGAGUAGCGGGUCACCCAAACCAUGUCCUGUCGGCAGCUUCCUCCCAGAGCGUGGAGCUUCUGCCCGCUCUCACUGUCACCGUUGCCCCCCAGGGAAAUACUGCCCGACUCCUGGAAGCUCACAGCCCACAGGUGGGUGAUUUGGACACGUUUUUCAAGAGCGAAAUUUGGCCAAUUGUGCAAAAUCCAUGACAUUGUGUGUUUCAGC
ensembl:lncRNA